rnacentral:rRNA from 1 species
GACGAACGCUGGCGGCGUGCUUAACACAUGCAAGUCGAACGAUGAAGGAGAGCUUGCUCUCCGGAUUAGUGGCGAACGGGUGAGUAACACGUGGCUAACCUGCCCCUUUCUCUGGGAUAACGCUCCGAAAGGAGUGCUAAUACCGGAUACGAACUCUGAACACAUGUUCGGAGUUGGAAAGUUUUUCGGAAAGGGAUGGAGUCGCGGCCUAUCAGCUUGUUGGUGGGGUAACGGCUCACCAAGGCGACGACGGGUAGCCGGCCUGAGAGGGCGACCGGCCACACUGGGACUGAGCCACGGCCCAGACUCCUACGGGAGGCAGCAGUGGGGAAUAUUGCACAAUGGGCGAAAGCCUGAUGCAGCGACGCCGCGUGAGGGAUGGAGGUCUUCGGAUUGUAAACCUCUUUCAGUAGGGACGAAGCAAAAGUGACGGUACCUAAAGAAGAAGCACCGGCUAACUACGUGCCAGCCGCCGCCGUAA